GAUGAACGCUGGCGGCAUGCCUAACACAUGCAAGUCGAUCGGUAAGGCUCUUCGGAGUACACGAGAGGCGGACGGCUGAGUAACGCGUAGGAACACACCCUGCAGUGAGGGAUAAGACACCGAAAGGUGUUCUAAUACCGCAUACGGUCUUCGGAUUAAAGCAUUUAUGCGCUGAAGGAGUGGCCUGCGUCAUAUUAGAUAGUUGGUGAGGUAAUGGCUUACCAAGUCGAUGAUGUGUAGCUGGUCUGAGAGGAUGAUCAGCCAGACUGGAACUGAGACACGGUCCAGACUCCUACGGGAGGCAGCAGUGAGGAAUAUUUCACAAUGAGCGAAAGCUUGAUGGAGCAAUGCCGCGUGCAGGAUGAAGGCCCUCGGGUUGUAAACUGCUUUUAUAAGAGAAGAUUAUGACGGUAACUUAUGAAUAAGGGACGGCUAACUACGUGCCAGCAGCCGCGGUCAUACGUAGGUCCCGAGCGUUAUCCGGAGUGACUGGGCGUAAAGAGUUGCGUAGGCGGUCAAGUUAGCGAGCGAUGAAAACUAUCGGCUCAACCGAUAGCUUGUUGUUCGAACUGCUUGACUCGAGAGUAUCAGAGGUCGCUGGAAUUCCUAGUGUAGCAGUGAAAUGCGUAGAUAUUAGGAAGAACACCGAUGGCGUAGGCAGGCGACUGGGAUAUUUCUGACGCUAAGGCACGAAAGCGUGGGUAGCGAACCGGAUUAGAUACCCGGGUAGUCCACGCCGUAAACGAUGGAUGCUAAUUGUUUGAGGUAUCGACCCCUCGAGUAAUAAAGCUAACGCGUUAAGCAUCCCGCCUGUGGAGUACGGCCGCAAGGCUAAAACAUAAAGGAAUUGACGGGGACCCGCACAAGCGGUGGAGGAUGUUCUUUAAUUCGAAGUUAAGCGAAGAACCUUACCAGGGCUUGACAUCCCUAGAACUUUUUCGAAAGAAAAAGGUGCCUUCGGGAGCUAGGUGACAGAUCCUGCAUGGCCGUCGUCAGCUCGUGUCGUGAGAUGUUUGGUUAAGUCCAUCAACGAGCGCAACCCUUGUCGUCAGUUGUAUUUUUCUGGCGAGACUGCCCC
rnacentral:rRNA from 1 species